rnacentral:rRNA from 1 species
UACGAAGGGGGCUAGCGUUGCUCGGAAUCACUGGGCGUAAAGCGCACGUAGGCGGCUUGUUAAGUCGGGGGUGAAAUCCUGGAGCUCAACUCCAGAACUGCCUUCGAUACUGGAAAGCUCGAGUCCGGGAGAGGUGAGUGGAACUGCGAGUGUAGAGGUGAAAUUCGUAGAUAUUCGUAAGAACACCAGUGGCGAAGGCGGCUCACUGGCCCGGUACUGACGCUGAGGUGCGAAAGCGUGGGGAGCAAACAGG